CCCUUAGAUGUUCUGGGCUGCACGCGCGCUACAAUAAUACGCACAGCGAGUAUCACCGAGCUCGAAAGGGCAAGGUAAACAAUAGAAAAGGUACUGUAAUGGUUAUAGAUCCUUGUAAUUAUUGAUCUUCAACGAGGAAUUCCUAGUAAGUAUGUGUCAUCAUCACGCACUGAUUACGUCCCUGCCCUUUGUACACACCGCCCGUCGCUCCUACCGAUUGAGUGAGCCGAUGAAACUGCCGGAUGUGGACUAUUCAUAGUCUGCAGAAGAUAUUUGAAUCGUAGCGCUUAGAGGAAGGAGAAGUCGUAACA
rnacentral:rRNA from 1 species